ACCAGGGCUUUUCAGUGAGAACAGGGCUGCAUCAGACAAGCAUGGGGAGCAGGAUGGAGUCACGAACCCAGGUCCUCAUGUCCCUCCUGCUCUGGGUGUCUGGUGCCUGUGCAGAUAUUGUGAUGACCCAGUCUCCAUCCUCCCUGGCUGUGUCAGUGGGAGAGAAGGUCACCAUCAACUGCAAGUCCAGUCAGAGUCUCACUUUAGGUUCCUACAACUACUUGAACUGGUACCAGCAGAAACCAGGGCAGGCUCCUAAACUCCUGAUCUACUUAGCAUCCACUCGGCACACUGGGGUCCCUGAUCGCUUCACAGGCAGUGGGUCUGGGACAGAUUUCACUCUCACCAUCAGCAGUGUUCAGGCUGAAGACCUGGCAGAUUACUACUGUCAACAGCAUUAUAGCGAUCCUCCCACAGUGCUUCAUCCUCCAACAAAAACCUCCUCUGAGAAUCUCAGCAGCUGCCUGCACCACACACAGCCCUGGACCUGCACACUUCCACUUCCCCCUUUUGGCUGAGAGUCAGUGAGCCUGAAACAUUGACGAAAAAGUUUGCAAAGCCCAGCAAAAUAUAAUGUGUCUAAUGUCUUAUGUCUUUUGGUAUAAAAAACCUUUAUAUGACAAUGCAAAGAAGAACUCAGCAUUAUCUUGCUAUUUUUUCCUAUAACCUAUUAUCCCAAACUCUGUUGCUUGACUAUGAGGGAUUUAUCUUUUUAUAGUUCUGGAGUUCUGGUAGCCAUCGUAAGAGUCUAUGGGCUGAAGUGAUGAUGAU